AGGGAGACCUAAUUCAGGUAGGAGACGAAAAAAAAGUAGUCCCUACCAAGAAUCAAUCCCAAAAGGUCGGAGCGAGGCAAAAUUGGCUUUCAAACUAGGUUCUGGGUUCACACAAGACCUGAAUCAGGAACAAGGGCUAUUAGCUCAGGUGGUUAGAGCGCACCCCUGAUAAGGGUGAGGUCCCUGGUUCGAGUCCAGGAUGGCCCACCUGUACAGGUGGCAAAAACAAAGAAAAGAAGCUCCGAAUCAGCACCUUAUCUUACUUAUAUAGUAAGAGAGAAUGCUGGCUCUGAGUACAGAGUCCAGAGGAACCUUGAAAACUGCAUAGAGCUAGGUGAAAAAGCCAAAAAAGAAGACCGCAA
rnacentral:tRNA from 1 species